rnacentral:tRNA from 1 species
AGGGGCUUAGGAUAAUUCUUAAGACCAAGGGCCUUCAAAGCCCUACGUGGGAGUGAAACUCCCCCAGCCCCUG